GGGAGUGUCAAGGUUUCGACGUGAUUUUUGGACAUGUGAAUGCAGUGGGGUUAGCCCCUUAUAGCUGAAGGUCUUAAUAACCGCAAAUAAACAAACAAACUACGAAGAAGUGGAUGUAAAUCUACUGGCUUCACAAAGCUUAGCUCUAAACGUUUAACUUUUUACAAAUAAAACUUAUAUACGUUUAACUUUUUAAGCAAAAACUGUUGGUUAGUGCAUAAAUAACUAACUUUUAUCCCUUAUGCUCUAUCAAAAAGCCUGAUUGAACUUUUUGGUGAACUUUUCAAUCUUACUAAUUAUUUGACUCGUUUCAGGUUUUAAUAGUUAGGAAAUUCUAAAUGAAACUAAACUGUAGACUUCAUUUGGAAGAAAAUUGCGGAAAGGGGUUCGAUUCCCCUCACUUCCACCA
rnacentral:tmRNA from 2 species